CUUCUUCCAAAAGAAAAACGCCGUCGCUAUAUUUGCAUCUCUCAGCUGGUAAAGAUCUCACUCUCUCGAGUCUAAAGACGAUAUGAGCGUGAUGGGAAGUUCCGUCCAACGCUUUCCAGUCCCCUUCAAGAACCUUUCGCUAGAUAUCAAGGGGAACAAAACAGACAUAGUCAUUUGCAGUUAUGAUGACCAUAUUUUUGUGAUUGCUACCCAAAUAGGAACAAUGGGGACGAUACUGCAUGCCAGGAAGGAGGAAGGGGUGUCGGUUCAUCCCACUUUCAGUGUAUCUGUAAUAUUUGGCAAACGAGAUGAGGGAAUGCUAGUGGCAUGUGCUCGACAACUGAUUGAACACAUAAGUAGCUCGGGUUCCUCCAGGCCAUUGGUGCUGUCUAUUGGUCUUAAAGACCAUUCCAUGGAGACGCUUAAAGGAAUUGUUUCUGCCGUAGUUGAAAAUCGAAUGUGGUAACAAAUUACCCUUGGAUUUCAACCUCAGCAUUUCCCCCUGCCGAUUUGUUUUGAGAUUUUUCAUGGAUACAAUCUUGGAACAUUUAUGGAGGCUUAUUAAUUAUCAUA
rnacentral:misc_RNA from 1 species